GAGACAUUCAUAUCCAGUUCCCAACUAAUGAUUUUGUAAUGGAAUAAUCGUGAGUCUGCUCCUUGGUGGAGACUUUCACAUUAUAAUGGAACAGAAGUAACUGUUGGACAAGGGGAAGGUCAUUUCCUGCCAACCUGGCUUGCACAGGACCAUCCCAUUUAUCAGCUAUGCUGCUAUAUGUUUGAAACUGCUGCAUGUUUGAACUUCUCAGUUGAGAACACAGAAUGAAUUAUUCCUGGAUCCUGAUUCCAUGGAGAUAGGGAACUUUGCUCCAAGAGCAAGUGAUCAACUCUGAUCAAGUGGAAAUCCUUGCUUAGGUCAUAAUGCAAAAUUUAAAAAGCAGGAAAAUCUUAUAAAUAGAAGAUGACCUAAUUCUGUUAAAACCAAACUUACUGGCAUGAGAAUCACUACACGAAAAAAUCAAAACGUCUGUAAUGUCAAUAUUUGGAUGACAUGACUAUAGAUUUGUUUUCAAAUCUCUAAAUUUCUACUACAAAUUUCAUGGUUUUUUUUUAAUUGAAAAAUGACACAAUUUAAGAAAUUGUUGCAAAGAAAUAAUCCAGAGGUUAACGUCAAAUUUAUUUAAAGUACAGCUGAACUUUAAUUUUCU